rnacentral:rRNA from 1 species
ACGUAGGAGGCAAGCGUUAUCCGGAUUUAUUGGGCGUAAAGCGCGUGCAGGCGGUCUAUCAAGUUGGAUGUGAAAGCUCCCGGCUUAACCGGGAGAGGUCGUUCAAUACUGUUAGACUAGAGAAUGGGAGAGGGAGGUGGAAUUCUGGGUGUAGUGGUGAAAUGCGUAGAUAUCCAGAGGAACACCAGUGGCGAAAGCGGCCUCCUGGACCAUUUCUGACGCUAAGACGCGAAAGCUAGGGUAGCAAACGGG